AUUACAAAGAUGCUAUUAAGAUGAUAGUAAUGAUAAUUUAAAAACCAUGUCAGCAUUUAUAUAAUUUAAAAAUAAACUCAGACGAUUUGGCUCAACUUUCUAUGUAUUGCUAGAACAGGUUAGACAAAUUCAGUUAUUAUCUUUUUUUGAUGUUUUGUUAGCUGAUGGUGUUUAACUUUCUCUAUCAUGCUUCUAAUGCUUCUGAUCUGGGUUGCACUGCCAUUCUCCCCUCAGUAUGAUCAGUGUGUUCGUACUGGUUACUCAUGUUUAACUUGCUCCUCUUCAUAUUUAGAGGUGGAGAUGAACAUGGAAUUAAAGUGGCUCAAGUGUCUGAAUCUAUUUCAAUAGCAAAAUUUUCUCUAAAAACCAAUCCUCAGUGUCCAUGCUUUGAGCCGCAGUUAAACUUCAUAUUUUAUUGAAUCAUCCUCAGGUAGCAUUUAUUAUAUGCUAAUUUUAGUUCUUUUUUUUAACACUAUGAACAAAUUACUUAAUCCAUAUAACAAGGAGAUUAUUACCUUCAAUAUAACCUUUUUAUUCCUAAUUUUCAGGUGAGGACUUUUAGGCACAGAGGGAUUACAGACUUUAUCUGUGUUGACAUGGGCAGAGCGUUACAUUCAGAAUUUAAGCCCAGUCAGGGUAGCUCUAGAAUGUCCUCUAUUAACCACUGUGCCAGUGCCUGUCGGUCUAGUUUUGCUGACCAAUAUGGUAUAUAUUGAAGUCAGCUUAACAAUUUAGUCAAAUAAACUUCAGUGAAGAAGCAGGCUUAAUUUAAAUCAUAUCAGCAAGUAUUUAUCAGAUGCAUAAUGUACAACAAACAAGAUGCCUCCUGCUAUACUAGCAUUAAAUGCAAAGCAAGAUCCAGGGUGAGUGGCUGGCCAGGAUUGGAAGAAGUGGAAUGAAUCACAUUAAAUGCUAUACAUAAAAUGAUUCCAUUGUCUGUAUUUUGUUUAUUAGCAAAUGAUACAAGAAAUACCAAUUUAAUCUUUCCACAAAGUAGUUUUGGGGACUUUUAUAGUAAAUGUCACCCUCAUUUAGAUUCUUAUAAAAUUAGAAAUUCAGGGCUUUAAAAAUAAAUUGAGAGGCCAAAGCUCUAAACUAGUAGACUAGCUUUUUUGGUCUCAGGACUCCUUUACAUGCUUAAAAGCUAUUGAGAACACCCCUAAAACCUUCUGUGCAUGUGGGUUAUAUCUGUUAAUAUUUGUAUUAGAAAUUAAAACGGAGAAAUAUUUCAAUAUCUAUUAACUCAUUUAAAAAGAGCAAUAGUAAUACCAUUAUAUAUUUACAUAAAUAUGUGAUCUUAUAAAAAAUAAUGAUCUUUUUCAACAAAAUGAUCAGUGGCAUUGUUUUGUAUCUUUAAACAUUUCUUUGUUGUCUAGUUUAAUAGGAGACAGCUGGAUUUUCUCUCUUCUGUCUCUUUGAUCUCACACAUCACGUAUGCUCUGGAAAACUCCACUGAACACUGUGAGAGAAUGAGAAUGAAAUAGGAAAAUGCCAUCUUAGUUUGUUACAAAAUUAUUUCUGACCUCAUGGCCCUUUAAAGGGCCUCAGGAACCCAAAGUGUCCUCUGGCCACACUUUGAGAACCAUUGCUGUAGAAUUAAUCUGCUGCUUUUGUUAUACUAUAUUUUAAGCCCUUUUCAUAUAAUACUACCUGAAUGUGAGCUUUAGCAAUUCAAUAUAUUGCUUACCUGUGAUUUAAAAUAAAAGAAACAAAAAANUUAAGGAGUCAAAGUGAGACAAAUACAUACAUUUAGUUAUCCUGAAAUUUCAUUACAAUAUCAUCAUUUUGUGACAGUUCAGGUAAGUGUAUACAUAUAAUAUUUUUUCAAAUACUUUUACUAAUCAAAGAAGAACUCUAAAUAGAAUUACUUUCCACUCUAAUGACACUGUAACAAAACCCCCAAGCUCUCCACAGAGAGAAGCAAUUCUUGAUGACGUGGUGUCAAAAUUGCAUUGUUUUCUAUGCAGAAGGGUGACCAAUUUUUCAGUACAGUUUCCGUCCAAUAAUUUCCAUUCUUUUAUAUCAUUGGUUUUAAGAGUUAAGAAAUUCUCUAUUGUUUAUAGUAAGCCAGUUACUGUCAGUUGAGAUCUGAGAAACUCACUUUGAAAUAUUUUAGUUUCUCCAAAUAAAAUGAUGCCAUGAUACAGGGCAUUAGGUUGUCAUUUACAUAUUUAUGAUUCUGAACUCAUUUUCGAUUUCACUGAUGGAACAGUAGAGGAGAUAAGAUGAAACAGUAAGUCCAUAAAGAGCAGAAAGUAAAAGUUUAAAUUGUAGCAGCUUUUGGAUGUGGCUGAGAAUUUGGAGAAUCACAGACUGGGGGGAUAUUCUUUGGAAGUUUAUGACUGGAGAAAAAUUAUGGGUCAAGUACAACUCUUGCAGUGAAUAGAUAUUCAAAUUUCUGAAUUGAAAAGAAGCAAUUGUUUCAUGGAUUGAAAGGUGAGCCUCUGGUGUCCGUCAUUUUACAAACAGGAAAAAUAAAGACGUAUAGUUAAGUUGGAGCUUAGUGUACAAAUAUUCAACUAGAAUUCCUAAAAUACGUGGUGAAUCAGUUUCAUGAACUGAAACUGUGAUUUUGUUCUUUAGCCAGGGCCGUUUAUAGAGAGUCCUGGGAGGAAGAACUUCUAUAAAAUAUCUUAAAAUAUGGUGUCUUCUUUUUUGUAAGAAAGGCAAAGUAUCUUUCCACUGUGAAUACGCCCUUCGUGUAAUUAACUAUUGGGACAUGACAAAGCUAAACAAUUGACUCUUUCUUCUGUCCAAGCUGCUUUUUCUUCGGUUAAUGCUAUUAUUGUCUGAGAGGAUUAGGAAACACAUUUCUGUGUUUCUAGAUUUUUUGACGUUUCUUGAUAUUCCACAUACUUUUCACAGAAUAACCUGAAAUAAUCCACUGCAAUGUUGCUCUGCCCUAUACUUGCCCUCUAAGGCCAAGACUGAGGGGAACUUGGGUCCUUGAUAAACCCAUUCCCUUUAAUGACAAGUUUCCCAGGUCAGACAAGUAUUUCAUGUCCAAGAAACUGACCUGAGAAGACUUUAUACUGAGGGCACAGAGGGUUGGAGAUGAAGGCAUAUUUGGAUUCCAGGUUUCCUUCUGAUGUCUACCUCCUGAACUGGAAUAUUUAUAAGUACUGCAUAUGAGAGUCUCUUUGCCCAUGGCUUUCUGAACAUGGAUGUCUUGUGAAAACUUGAUUGUUAAGAAAUAACCUUGUGUCAGAGAAAGAAUCAGAGAAACCCAGUGUUGUUCAAGUAGUUGUGCAAGGCAUUUGCUCAGUCCGUUCCACUGGAUGGAAGCCAGCGUGGUGGGAGGAAGAGGACGUGAGUUUUGGAAUUGGAGACCUUGGCUCAAAUGCUGGCUCUACCACUUAGCCGCUGCCAAGAUUAUUUCUUACAUUUUCUGUGUGCCUGAUUCUUAUGUUUCGAAUUUAGAAUAAUAAUAUUUACCUCACAGGAGUGUCAGGAAUGCUAUGUGAGGUAAAGUAUGCAAAGUGCGUGGCACAAAGUAGUCAAUAAAUAUUAAUACAAUUUAAUUCAGGCCAAAGGCCUUGCUGUUUUUUUUUUUUUUAAUAUGCUAUCCAGCAGUUAUUCUUUAAAAAUUUAAUUUUAUUGAAGUAUAGUUGAUUUACAAUGUCUGUUAGUUUCGGGUCUAUAGCACAGUGACUCAGUUAUAUGUAUGCGUGUGUGUGUGUGUGUGUGUGUGUGUAUAAAACACAGAUAUGUGUGUGUGUGUGUGUAUUUUAUGUGUAUAAAACCUGUUCAAUUCUUUUCCCUUAUAGGUUUUUACAAAAUACUGAGUAUAGUUCCCUGUGCUAUUCAAUAGGUCCUUAUUGGUUAUCUAUUUUAUAUAUCGUAACUUGUAUAUGUUAAUCCCAAGCUCUUAAUUUAUCCUUCCCCCUUUCCCCUUUGGUAAACGUAAAUUUAUUUUCUAUGUCUGUACAUCUGUUUCUGUUUGCUAAAUAAGAGUUGACAUUUUUACCGCUCUGAUUGGCUUAUUAUUUACAGAGAUAUCUACAUGAUUUCCCUUUUCUCUGAUAUUUUAUUCAUUUUCAGUAAUUUCUUCUUAAAUAAACAAAAAGUUCUUAUAUAAAAUGGAACAUACUGGGAAGAACGAUUCAAUGGUCAUAGCAUGGGCCAACAAAAAAUGGUAGCUCUCAUCCAUUUAGUCUAUUGAUGAGCCCUGCAGAGCCUGUUCAAGGUGUAUUCCCAUGUAGGACCCAGACUUCCUUGACCUUCGAAGUUCAUUGAUCUUUCAGUCUUGAUGUAAGUAAAUCUCACACUGAACUUCAAUGAAUUUUUAAAUAUCGAAUAUAUUCAGUAGGCUGCCCAUACAGAAAAGGAAGUUUCUGGAAAACCAUGCUUAAAGAGACUCUCUAUGAGAAUCCUUUAAGAGUUUAAUAAUAAAAAUCAUUCUGAACAUUUACGUAAAACUCCUGAAAGCAGGCAUGAAAGGAGACCUUUAACCAACUAGUAGAACUUUCACUUUAAUUGAUCUGUAUUUCAGAUUAGGAAUUAGCAAAAAAAAAAAAACCAAAAACCUAAAAACCCAGUCCCUGAUGCAAAGUCAAAUGAGGCUUUCAUGGCUAAAACAACAAACAACUUUCAGUAAUUCUUGAGUAGGGAAAAUGAUUUGCUUGAGUUAAGACCAUAUUCUUGCUUAGCAGUGAAGGGAAGAAAGUAGGCAAUACUUUUUGCUUAUCUUUUCUUCCCUUUAGAAAUGGAGAAAACUCACCAAGGAAGAGAGGGCAAAUGUAUCCCUGAGAAAGGCAGUGCUACCUACUUAGCCCCAGAUGCAGCUGGAGGGGCUCGCAUGGAUGUCCAGGGCAUACAGCACGUUGAGGCUGAGUUCUGCUCCAACUUCCCACAUACUUCCAAGGCUAAAUUUGGGUUUGAGUUAAUCCUACCACUUUCUUUUCCAAAUCCUGUCCCAGGUUAAUAUUAUCACAGCAUCGCCCUCUCCAACCACCAAUGAUUUCUACCUUAGUAACAACAUUCCACAGUUCUCAAGAGUGACUGAGCCUUGAGCUGGACCAUACCACUGCGUUGCAUCAUGACAGCGAGAUGUGGGGACACCUCUCAGUCUGUGGGCUCCAAUGUGUCAGCUGCUGCACCUUUUACCCAACUGCUGCCUGUGGGUCAAAUGAACCAAAGUCACUCCUUCUAUCAGGGCAAGUCUUCACAAGUAUUUUCCUACUAAGUCUUUUCAUCUCUAAGAUUAUACUAGAGAAGCCAAAUGAAAUUACAAUUAAGAUCAUCAUCACUAAAUUCUCAAGAUUAAGUAGACUCCUUCUUUUUGGUUAUCCAUGUUAAAAAAAAAAUCAUCUGGGGAGUUCCCAUUGUGGCACAGUGGACAUGAACCUGACUAGUAUCCAUGAGGAUGUGGGUUCAAUCCCUGGCCUCUCUCACUGGGUCAGGGAUCUGGUGUGGCAGUGAGUGGUGGUGUAGGUUGCAGACAUGGCUCAGAUCUCAAGUUGCUGUGGCCGUGAUGUAGGAUGGCAGCUGUAGCUUCAAUUGGACCCCUAGCCUGGGAACUUCCAUACACUGCAGGUGCAGCCCUAAAAAGAAAAAAAAAAAAA
rnacentral:lncRNA from 1 species